rnacentral:lncRNA from 1 species
UUUUCUUUCAAGAAGGAAAACAUUAACUACAUACAUAUUCUCCGACCAUUCAAUACACAUCGUCCAUGAUAACUUCAAAAAAUUGCCACACGUUAUCUUAAAUAAGGUAUUCAUCUGGAAAACAAAUUUGGAGCCAAUAGAGCGAAACUGAACAUGCAAGCAAGAGAACAAUACACAUAUUGUUAGUACAUAAUCUGAUUUCUUAAGUGGGCUCACUAUAUGCCCAAACAAAAUAUUACCAAAGCAACAUGCAAGAAAUAGUUUUUCUCAUACUGAUCAAGUCCCUCUUAACUCAGUCCGCACUAUUAUCAUUCUUGCCAACCAUCGCCCUCUUUUUCUAUGAUAGAAAAAGAUACUCUCAUAAGUAUCAUUGUUUUUUUUUUGCAGGUGAGAAAUAUCAUUAUUUAUGGGAGAAAAUAUCUUCACAUGCAUUUGCGUGUGUAAGCAAAACAUCAAUCAACAACCAUACCUUCGACUAUGAAAUUUAGUCAAUUCUGGAUGCGCACUUCAUAUCCCCAUCAUAAAGCUAGUGUCACAGUACCUGAAAGACAUGAAAUAUGCAUGUUAUGAUUAGAGAAUCGACUCGACUUGCUCCAGGCAUAAAACUAAUAUGAAAAUUGUUAACUUCCAGAAAAUGGACUUAAAAUGUGAGAAGUCAAUAAAUACAACAUGAUUUGAGAAGGGGCAGUUGGCUGUUGAUAUGGCUGCAUGAAUAUUUCUUUUCUUGAUUUACAACACCAUGGACGAAGGAGAAAUUUGAUGUACAUCAGCAUAUACUGUGAAUAUUUCCAUGCAUAUGUUGUUGAUUCCUUGAUAUAAAGAAAAUAAUAGGUGGCAUUAGUGACAAAGAUGUCAGUGGAUACAAAAGAUAUAAAUGGUGUGUGUAAUAAGUUGUUACCAAGGACAUACAGCUUUUCAAAUUUGGGUAGCAAAUCGAUAGGCAGCAUACGUACCAAAUUUUGCAGGAUAGUUGUGGACACCACAAUUCAAGCGGAAGGAAUCCUAUAUGACAAUGAAGUAGAGAACCGUUGUCACACUAACAUAGUAGCAUGUGACAAUAAAAGAAACAAACAAUAAACUGAAACGGUUGACAAAAAUCUAGUCUAUGUGUUGAACACGUUAAUAUGAUUACCCAUGAAAAAGAGGAACACAUGUUCAUAUAAAUAAACAUGCCAACUUAUAAUUCCAAGUUUAAAUAUAUCUGGAAAUUACUUGUCUCUGUAGAAUUGGUUGAAAGGUUGAAGUAUUUAUCCUUAACAAACAGCCUGUGUAAAAACUUCACCCACCUUUUUUAGCAUGACAUUUUAGCAAAUAAUUGAUGUGCUUGCCAGCAAGCAAGACCCUGAAAAUCAAAAAGUCCACUUGGCAUCUUUUACCAAUCUGACGGAUGCUUAGACAAUCUGAAGUUAAUAGAUGAAUAAAUAAAUUGUAUUACAGGGGGACUUCAACAUGGAGAAUCUGAAGAAUUAGCCAACCGCAAGUCUAAACGAGAUAUGACGGAAUCUCAAGACCUGCAUGUUUUCACUCUAUCCAACGGGGAUUCAGAUUUGCAGGAGCAUGUGUUAAAUCAAUCAAAAUAUGGUACUGUACGUCAGUUCGUGG